rnacentral:rRNA from 1 species
GAUGAACGCUGGCGGCGUGCUUAACACAUGCAAGUCGAACGAAGCAUUUAAGACAGAUUACUUCGGUUUGAGGUCUUUUAUGACUGAGUGGCGGACGGGUGAGUAACGCGUGGGUAACCUGCCUCAUACAGGGGGUUAGCAGCUGGAAACGGCUGGUAAUACCGCAUAAGCGCACAGUACCACAUGGUACAGUGUGAAAAACUCCGGUGGUAUGAGAUGGACCCGCGUCUGAUGAGCUUGUUGGCGGGGUAACGGCCCACCAAGGCGACGAGCAGUAGCCGGCCUGAGAGGGUGACCGGCCACAUUGGGACUGAGACACGGCCCAGACUCCUACGAGAGGCAGCAGUGGGGAAUAUAGCACAAUGGAGGAGACUCUGAUGCAGCGACGCCGGGUGAGUGAAGAAGUAGUUCGCUAUGUAAAGCUCUAUCAGCAGGGAAGAUAGUGACGGUACCUGACGAAGAAGCUCCGGCUAAAUACGUG